ensembl:lncRNA
GGGAGUACCGGUACAGAGUCAAUGUGGAGGCUAUAUACAGGGGGUACCGGUACAGAGUCAAUGUGGAGGCUAUAUACAGGGGAUACCGGUACAGAGUCAAUGUGGAGGCUAUAUACAGGGGAGUACCGGUACAGAGUCAAUGUGGAGGCUAUAUACAGGGGGUACCGGUACAGAGUCAAUGUGGAGGCUAUAUACAGGGAGUACCGGUACAGAGUCAAUGUGGAGGCUAUAUACAGGGAGUACCGGUACAGAGUCAAUGUGGAGGCUAUAUACAGGGAGUAAAGGUACAGAGUCAAUGUGGAGGCUAUAUACAGGGAGUACCGGUACAGAGUCAAUGUGGAGGCUAUAUACAGGGG